GGAACAACUGUUAGUAGCCACUGGAAUAUAUAUGAAACGAUCUGCAGUUGGACUGUUGUAGCGGAAAUACUGCAAUAGACUACAGUGUGCCGGUUGGAUGAGAUUCAAUGAGCCUUUUUCAUUCAAUUUUUUCUCGAUUCUGGUUUCAUCCGCGGAACAGCAUUGCCCCAAUAUGUGAAGAACCAGAGAGACAUGGCAUUUGAUUGCAGCCAUCAGGGUUGAAUCGUUUUGAAAGGCGUGUUCCGAGUGUGGAACCGAUCUCCUUGAAUGCCCGGUUUGGCACACCCGGGGCUGAGAUGAGAACUAACCCCCAAACAUUAGAGCAAACGUCUUCUUCUUUGUGAAAGUUCUCCAUAACACGGUAUGUUAGAUGCAAGUUGGCAAUAGCGUAGGUGAAGGAAGGACGAGAUUUGAUGAUUUGCAUCAAGUCAUUAACACAGUCUGUUAGAUGCAAGUUGGUUUGCUUGGAAAUUUUCAUUUAAUAAAAUGAUCAAACGAACAGAGUUCUAACACUAUCAUAUGUGUAGAUGUCUUAGUGAGAUACUCUGACUCGGCCAGAGAGUUUCACUGUAUGCCUGGUUUACUAAAACCAGAAGCCAGAUUGAAUCAGAGGAGCUAUAUUAGAGAAUAGAGACAUGUGUAUGUUCUUGGGUUGAUUUCGGUUUAUAUUUUUGGUUUAGUUGUUUUGUAUUUUGGUUCUUUGGUUUAGACCGGUUUAUGUCUCUGGUUUAGCUGCUUCAAGUACUGUAGGCGACAAUCCUUUAUAUUUUCUGGUCUAAUUGUUUUAUGGACUCUCUCUCUCUCA